rnacentral:rRNA from 2 species
ACGGCGAGUGAGAGGAAGAGCUCAAAGUUGGAAACUGUUUGGCUUAGCUAAACCGUAUUGUAAACUGUAGAAACAUUUUCCUGGCACACCAGAUUAAUAAGUCCUUUGGAACAAGGCAUCAUGGAGGGUGAGAAUCCCGUCUUUGAUCUGAGUAGUUGUCUUUUGUGAUAUGUUUUCAAAGAGUCAGGUUGUUUGGGAAUGCAGCCUAAAUUGGGUGGUAAAUCUCACCUAAAGCUAAAUAUUUGCGAGAGACCGAUAGCGAACAAGUACCGUGAGGGAAAGAUGAAAAGAACUUUGAAAAGAGAGUUAAACAGUAUGUGAAAUUGUUAAAAGGGAACCGUUUGGAGCCAGACUGGUUUGCUUGUAAUCAACCUAGAAUUCGUUUUGGGUGCACUUGCAGGCUAUACCUGCCAACAACAGUUUGAUUUGGAGGAAAAAAUUAAUAGGAAUGUAGCCUCUCGAGGUGUUAUAGCCUAUUAUCAUACUCUGGAUUGGACUGAGGAACGCAGCGAAUGCCUUUAGGCAAGAUUGCUGGGUGCUUUCGCUAAUAAAUGUUAGAAUUUCUGCUUCGGGUGGUGCUAAUGUUUAAAGGAGGAACACAUCUAGUAUAUUUUUUAUUCGCUUAGGUUGUUGGCUUAAUGACUC